rnacentral:rRNA from 1 species
UACGGAGGGGGCUAGCGUUGUCCGAAGUUACUGGGCGUAAAGCGCGCGUAGGCGGGUUGGUAAGUCCGCUGUGAAAGCCCGGAGCUCAACUCCGGAGGGUCGGUGGAUACUGCCAGUCUUGAAGGUGCUAGGGGGAGAUGGAAUUACCGGUGUAGCGGUGAAAUGCGUAGAUAUCGGUAGGAACACCAGUGGCGAAGGCGGUCCCCUGGGGCAUUCUUGACGCUGAGGCGCGAAAGCGUGGGUAGCAAACAGG